rnacentral:rRNA from 1 species
AUUGAACGCUGGCGGCAGGCUUAACACAUGCAAGUCGAGCGAGCGGCGGACGGGUGAGUAAUGUCUGGGAAACUGCCUGAUGGAGGGGGAUAACUACUGGAAACGGUAGCUAAUACCGCAUACCAUCAGAUGUGCCCAGAUGGGAUUAGCUGGUAGGUGGGGUGACGGCUCACCUAGGCGACGAUCCCUAGCUGGUCUGAGCGGAUGACCAGCCGCACUGGAACUGAGACACGGUCCAGACUCCUACGUGAGGCAGCAUUGGGGAAUAUUGCACAAUAGGCGCAAGGCUGAUGCAGCCAUGCCGCGUGUGUGAAGCAGGCCUUCGGGUUGUAAAGCCCUUUCAGCGGGGAGGCGUUACCCGCAGAAGAAGCACCGGCUAACUCCGUGCCAGCAGCCGCGGUAAUUC